CAUGAGGAUCCUCUACCUGCUCUUCGCUGUUGUUCUCCUCCUCUUCCAGGCUGCUCCAGGCUCUGCAGAUCCUCUUUUUGUUGACACCAUGGAGUGCAAGAGCCAGGGGAACUUCUGCCGUGCUGGGCCAUGCCCACCCACCUUCACUGCCUCAGGGUCCUGCCACGGGGGGGCCAUGAAAUGCUGUUCAAAGAUUUCAGCGGAGUAAGAAGAGGCAGCUUUCCUGGGUCAGUGCCCUUGUAUCAGCAUCAGGUCCACUGCCUCGAGGGGCUGAUUUUGAUGGAUUCCUCCUCUGUCUAAAUCCUCCUGCAAAUGAGCAUGAAAAGAAGCUUCCAGAGGGCACAUCCUGUUAGCACACUGCUUCUGGAGAUCCAGGUUUUUCUUUGCUGAAGUCACUCCCUUUUUUUGCUUUUAAUACACAAGCCACUUUGGUACCUUGGCCACUAUUCCAGCCUACCUCACAGGGAUGUUUGGAUGCUCAAUCACUUCAGGUUCAUGCAGUUCUUGGAGGAUGUGAAGCGAAAUAUAUAUAUUAUUACUUUAUUCACACACACAAAUAAAUGUCUUCUUAAACCAA